UACGUAGGGGGCUAGCGUUGUCCGGAUUUAUUGGGCGUAAAGAGCGUGUAGGCGGCCAGGUAGGUCUGCUGUGAAAACUCGAGGCUUAACCUCGAGAUGUCGGCGGAAACCAUCUGGCUAGAGUCCGGAAGAGGAGAGUGGAAUUCCUGGUGUAGCGGUGAAAUGCGCAGAUAUCAGGAAGAACACCCGUGGCGAAGGCGGCUCUCUGGGACGGUACUGACGCUGAGACACGAAAGCGUGGGGAGCGAACAGG
rnacentral:rRNA from 1 species